GACGAACGCUGGCGGCGUGCUUAACACAUGCAAGUCGAACGGAAAGGCCCUGCUUUUGUGGGGUGCUCGAGUGGCGAACGGGUGAGUAAAACGUGAGUAACCUGCCCUUGACUUUGGGAUAACUUCAGGAAACUGGGGCUAAUACCGGAUAGGAGCUCCUGCUGCAUGGUGGGGGUUGGAAAGUUUCGGCGGUUGGGGAUGGACUCGCGGCUUAUCAGCUUGUUGGUGGGGUAGUGGCUUACCAAGGCAUUGCCGGGUAGCCGGGCUGAGAGGGUGACCGGCCACAUUGGGACUGAGCUGCGGCACAGACUCCUACGGGAGGGAGCAGUGGGGAAUAUUGUACAAUGGGCGGAAGCCUGAUGCAGCAACGCCGCGUGCGGGAUGACGGCCUUCUGGUUGUAAAGCGCUUUCGCCUGUGACGAAGCGUGAGUGACGGUAAUGGGUAAAGAAGCACCGGCUAACUACGUG
rnacentral:rRNA from 1 species